rnacentral:tRNA from 1 species
GCGUUGGUGGUUCAUUGGUAGAAUUCUCGCCUGCCACGCGGGAAACCGGGGUUCAAUUCCCCGCCAACGCA